rnacentral:lncRNA from 1 species
AAGAGCGAAACAGAGAGAGCGUAAUGGUUCGUCGACGGCGAGUAUUGUGUUCGUCGGCGAGUAUUGUCUUCGUCGGCGGCGAAGAAGUUCUCUUUCGAACGCGAGAGAGAAAUUUUUUUAUUUUUUUUUUCGAUUGUAAACAGUGAUGAGAAAUAAACUGUUCCGUUUCCUUUUUGAUAAUUAAUGAAAGAAUAAAUGUCGAUGAUGAUGUGGCAAUUUCGGGUAUGACGUGGCAUUUCCGGAUCUGAUGUGGCAAUUUUAAGUGAAAACAGACAAAGGGUGUUUAUUGUAAUUACAC